CGCCAUGUCUAAUGACUGUACUUCCUCAUUUAGUCCAUACCACCCUGGAGACUUCGGGGAGGCUGGACAGAAAGGUGUCUUGAAAGCUUCAUUUGGGGAAAACGAACAAAGCCAAGAUCAACGCCUUGGAAAGAGGGGAGAAGAAAGAGACACCGCCCCUUUCCCACCUCCACUCUAGGCUCCAAGGUGCCCCUUGCUUGCCAGAGACAAAGACCAGGCCGUUUUGAACAGUUCUUUUCCGGACCUAAAAUUUGUACGGAGGCGUGUCUAGGGGAUUUUGUCAUCUCCCGUGACCUUGGCUGUAGCACAGGUGGUCACAUAGCGACAUAAACAGGACUGAAGGGAAGUGCGCCAGACGGAGCUGCCCUGCGGUGCCGGGAGCCCCUACCCUGUGGCCUCCUCUAGGCUUGGCUGCUGGAGGCAAAGGAAGCCUGCCCUGCUGAGAAACCGCAGCCCAGCGGCUCCUUAGGGCUUACACAGUUGCCAUUUCACACUCUCUGGCUCCUCAUGAGAAGGCUAUUUUGAAUCCCUGUUUUGUUUCUCCUGACUGACUCCUGGCAGCAGCCCCACCCCAGCCCCCAGCCCCGCCCCCCAGCCCGGGCUGAGUUUUCUGCGCUGGCUCAGUCUCCUUCCCAGUCAGCCUCUUUCUCACUCUCCCUAUUCCUUCCACAAGCUGUCUCUGAGCUACAGCACCCCGUGGCUUUCAGUGGCAAGGCUCCGAAUGCAAACACAUGAUAAAACUUUGAGUCGCUGUAAGUGUUCAUUAUUCCCAUUCGAUCAUCAUAUGCUUGUAUCAGCUUAACGCACUGUACCCCAUAACUAUGCAUAAUUACUAGUUCUCAGCAACCUCAAAAUGCAGUUUUUUUAAAAGCAAAAUUAAACUAGUGAAAUUAAUU